UGGGGAAUCUUGCGCAAUGGACGAAAGUCUGACGCAGUGACGCCGCGUGGGCGACGAAGGCCUUCGGGUUGUAAAGCCCUGUGGGGCGGGACGAACACUCUCUAGGCGAACAGGCUAGGGAGCUGACGGUACCGCCUUAGCAAGCACCGGCUAACUCUGUGCCAGCAGCCGCGGUAAGACAGCGGGUGCAAACGUUGCUCGGAAUUACUGGGCGUAAAGCGCGUGUAGGCGGUUCCGCAAGUCAGGUGUGAAAGCCCAGGGCUCAACCCUGGAAGUGCACUUGAUACUACGGAGCUUGAGUACUGAAGAGGAGAGCGGAAUUCCCGGUGUAGAGGUGAAAUUCGUAGAUAUCGGGAGGAACACCAGUGGCGAAGGCGGCUCUCUGGGCAGAUACUGACGCUGAGACGCGAAAGCAUGGGGAGCAAAC
rnacentral:rRNA from 1 species